CAUUCUGGAGAGGAAGUUCUGGGUUGACUAUACUGCCAGUUAUUUGCUUGCCGGGAAAGUACUUUGCAAUUCAAACAGCGAAGACGAAGAGAAUGUUCCUUCCUACGAGCUAGUGAUAAUGCAAACCAGGAAUGUGCUGUUAGCCAGGCCUGGUGGCACCCACCUUUAAUCCCAGCACUCGGGAGGCAGAGGAUUAUAUGUGUAUGGGAAAAAGCAUAAGAAGAUUCACAUUGAGCUGCUUGUCCAAGGACUGAGAAUUCCAACUGUGAGGAGGAUUUUGUUUUGUUUUGAUCUUCUUUUGAUAGUGUCUGAUUAGAUUCAACUGUCACCUUGAUGAAACCUAGAGUCAUCUGAGAGGAUAGAUAGUCUCAAUUGAGGAAGUGCCUAGAUCAGACUGGCCUGGGUCAUGUCUGUGAGGGAUUGUCUUGAUUGUUAACUGAUGUUGAAGGGCCCAGCCCCCUGUGGGCAGCAGCAUCCCUAGGCAACUGAACUGUAUCAGAAAGCUCAGUAUAAACCGACCCGUGAGCCAGCAAGCAAGCAGCCUUCUCCAUGGCUCCUGAUGUAUUUCUUCGGCUGUGAAGUGGGUUCUUUAAUUCGAGGUAACGAUGUGCAGAAUAGCAAGCAGGCCUACCUUCAAGUUCCAGCCCUGAGCUCCUACCUUGACAUCCCUUAAUGAUGGACUGUGACCUGGAAGUGUAAGACAAAGAACACCUUUCCUUACCCAAGAUGCUCAGUGGGGUUUAUCACAGCAGCAGAAUGAAACUAGAAUGGACAGCCAAAAACAUCAUAAAACUCUAAACCAAGAAAAAGUAUACAUAUGUUCACUUUGGGACAUGUCUGCAAAUGAGAUUAAAAGUAAUUGUAAAAAUACCCCCCCGACCCACCUAAUGACUGUUUUAGGCAGUCCCUUUACUUUUCAAGUAGGUUCCACAAAAUAGAGUAGAAGACAGUUGUCGGCACAUGCUAUAUUUUGGCCAUAAUCUUUGAGCUCUUGUUAUUGUAGAAUAUUAUUUUAAGACGUGUGAAAUGUGUUUAUG